GGCGGUAUAGCUCAGUUGGUUAGAGCGAGGGAUUCAUAAGCCCUAGGUCCCAGGUUCGAAUCCUGGUGCCGCCA
rnacentral:tRNA from 1 species